rnacentral:rRNA from 1 species
GGGCCGCGGUAAUCUAGACCGUGCGAAGGUAGCAUAGUCAAUAGUCUUUUAAUUGGAGGCUUGAAUGAACGGCUGGAUGAGGGACACACUGUCUUUUCUUAUUUACCGAAUUUAACUUUUAAGUGAAAAGGCUUAAAUUUACCAGUGGGACGAUAAGACCCUAUAAAAUUUUAUGCUCGCUUAGUUGAUUUAAUAAUUUUUUCUAAAUUUAUCUCCCGGGUGGCAUUUUGUUGGGGAGACAAUGAUAUAAUUCUAACUGUUAUUAUAAAGCUAAUAGCCUUCGUUAGUUUCCGAUCCUGUUCUAUAGAUUUUAAGAUUAAAUUACUUUAGGGAUAACAGCGUGAUUUUCCUUGAGAGUUCUUAUCGACAGGAGUAGUUGCGACCUCGAUGUUGAAUUAAAAUGUUAAGCAGGUGUAGCAGCUUGUUCAGUGGGUCUGUUCGACCUUUAAAAUUUU